rnacentral:lncRNA from 1 species
UUAGCUCUGUCCUCGGCGUGCUCAUGAAUCACACUGGAGAGCCCUGUGUGGUCCUUCCACGGCUGACGCAUCAUGAGCCUGUUCAGGCAUUUUUCUCCGCUUCACUCUGCCAUCUGUGUGUGGGAUGACGAGGAAAGCCCAUGUGAAGCGACUGUCUCCUGCCUGUUUAUUGAGGGCUCCGGAGUGCUCUUCAAAACCAUCUUCCUGCCCUUUUCGGCAGACAGCAGCAUCUCAGGGAUGCCUUUGCCUCCCAGAGGGGCCGGAGGUGGGCAGGGAACAGAAACCUCAAAGAGUCCUGCAGCUCUCUCAGCGAGAAGCCGCCACAGCCCUUCUCGAGGCGUGCGCCCGAAAUGCACUUCUUCUAGCUGGAGGAACGUCUGACGAUGGGAACGUUGAUCUUAAUCAUGCCAGGUGAAAAGCUUGAGGAGCCGUGCGCACAGCAGGUGAAAUGAUCAUCAAAGAAUGGGCUGCGGCAGGCUGGACGGUAACGAAGGUGACUUUCAUGUUCUUCUUCAUCUUUUGUAUUAUCCAAGUUUUUCACAGAUGGCCCCAUCCUGUUUUGUUCAGAAUAAAAGGGUAGAAAAGAUGAUGGUUUUUUUUUUUUUUUUUUUUUGAGAUGGAGUCUUGCUCUAUUGCCCAGGCUGGAGUGCAGUUGCAUGAUCUUGGCUCACUGCAACCUCUGCCUCCCGGGUUCAAGCAAUUCUCUGCCUCAGCCUCCCGAGUAGCUGGGAUUACAGGUGCCAGCCACCGCUCCCGGCUAAUUUUUAUAUUUUUAGUAGAGAUGGGGUUUCACCAUCUUGGAUAGGCUGGUCUUGAACUCCUGACCUCUUGAUCCACCUGCCUUGGCCUCACAAAGUGCUGGGAUUACAGGCGUGAGCCACCAUGCUCGGCCGAUGAUUAUUUUAAAACAGCAGCCCCAGGUAGCUUGGCAGACAGGAGGGAGAGCCCAAGGGGCUGGUCAGAUGGAAGUGGUGCACUAGGGGACAGGCUCCGGGGCGCGUGUGGGAAGCGGCACAAUGGCGGUGAGGCAGUGGGCUCUGUGCCACUCCUGCUCCGUGCCGGCAAGGCUGGGCCCUGGGCAGGGGCUGUCACCACCCCUUGGCUCAGUUUCCUCACCUGUGAACCGGUCACAGUGAUGGCGUUGACCUCAUGGGCCGUGGUGAG